GGGUUCCGAAGGGGGCUCUGUGGGGGACGCCUUUCCUUCUCUUAGCGGUGCGGAAGCUGGCGGCGGUCGGCGGCGGCGUCGAUGGUGUGAAGCUGUGUGUCACGUUUCUCCUCUCGUUACCGGGGCUGCUGCUUCUCAAAAAGAGAGAGGACAUGAAGGUUCGGUGGAAAGACUGGGUUUUGGAGAGAGACUGAGAGUGCAGACCUUGCAGCCGAGGGAGCAGAAGCGGAAGGAGUCGAGGAGGCUCCGAUUGCAGACUUCGCAGGUGUUGGUGACGCCCUUGCCGGGCCUCGGCUGUGGGCGCUUGUUGAGGAAGACGACACGGGCACUGUUGAUGAUGUACGUCUGCACGCCGGUGAUGUCCAGUACCUUCUGGAUCUCGGAAACUCUGAUCACGUCGUGGUAGGAAGACCUCCGUAUCUGCAAUCGAGAUCCCAUCAGAAGAGCCAACUUUAUGGUGGGGAGACACAGAGCCACUCCUAUGGGAGGCCAAGGAAACGCAAAGCAUGACUGAGAGAGACGCUUCAGAACAAACGGACCUGGAUUGCGCGGUGGCCGCGGUGGUGGGCGAGGCAGAGGGAGCAGAGAGCGCCGUUCGUGCAGUCAAGGCAGAACAUAUUGCACUCGCUCUUGUGAGAGUCAGCGUGGUGCUCGCAAUGGACGAAGAAGCUCGUCGACAGAAGCGGUCGCAGCCACCGCGGCCACCUACCCUUCUCCUCCGCCGUCCCUCCUCCGCCCUGUUCCAUCCCCCAUCAUCAUCAUCAGACAGAGCAAAAAAAGCCACCAACUUCGAAGCCAGCAACAAUCCUUUUGGGGAAACUCACCAUGAUUCGCCUGUUCUUGAUAUUUAGCUCUCUGAAUGGUGAUUCUUGAUUGACCGCCA